rnacentral:rRNA from 1 species
AGGGUUUGAUUAUGGCUCAGGAUGAACGCUAGCUACAGGCUUAACACAUGCAAGUCGAGGGGCAGCAUUUCAGUUUGCUUGCAAACUGGAGAUGGCGACCGGCGCACGGGUGAGUAACACGUAUCCAACCUGCCGAUAACUCGGGGAUAGCCUUUCGAAAGAAAGAUUAAUACCCGAUGGUAUAAUUAGACCGCAUGGUCUUGUUAUUAAAGAAUUUCGGUUAUCGAUGGGGAUGCGUUCCAUUAGGCAGUUGGUGAGGUAACGGCUCACCAAACCUUCGAUGGAUAGGGGUUCUGAGAGGAAGGUCCCCCACAUUGGAACUGAGACACGGUCCAA